AUGCAGGGGGGCGGUGGCGGUAGUGGUGUCUGCUCAGUGGCAGGCCUAACUCUGCACCCUGCUCGGCCACCGGGCACAGACUGCCUGUCCCUGGUCAUGAGCUCCACACCCCCAUGGCCCUGGAGGCCCCAACCCAUCCAGGGCGCAUUCCCCACUAACAGGGGUCCCAGUCAGUUACCCCGCAGCCAGGCCAGCUGGUGGGGUGGCCCGGCCCGUGGAGGCCGCACAGCAACCGGCAGUGGUGGGUGCAACCCCAUGGGGCCCCGGAGGGCUGUGGGGGCCUGCUCAGCCCGCCACCGAGCGCCAGGGAAGCCACCAGGGGCAGCGCCGGGCGGGGCUCGGGGCCUGAGGCUCCUGGUGCCCCGCAGACCACCUGGCCGGGGUGCUGGGCUGGCUGGGCUACACUCGCAGCCCCGCGUCCGGAGCCCCGCACCCGCAGAUGCAGCCCUGCGCCCGCAGCCCCACACCCGAGCCCCGCACCCGAGUCCCGCACCCGAGCCCCGCACCUGGAGCCCCGAACCCGAGCCCUGCACCUGCACCCGGAGCCCUGUGCCCGCAGCCCCGCACCCGGAGCCCCACACCCGAGCUCCGCACCUGGAGCCCCGCACCUGCAGCCCCACACCCGCACCCAGAGCCCCGCACCUGCAGCCCCACACCCGCACCCAGAGCCCCACACCCGAAACCCCGCACCCAGAGCCCCGCACCUGCAGCCCCACACCCGCACCCAGAGCCCCGCACCCAGAGCCCCACGCCCAGAGCCCCGCACCUGCAGCCCCGCACCCGCACCCAGAACCCCGCACCCAGAGCCCCGCACCCGAGCCCUGCACCUGCAGUCCUGCACCCAGAGCCCUGCACCCCAGCCCCGCGCGGAGGCCCCGAGGAGGCCCCGAGGAGGCCCCGGCCCGGAUUCAUCCCCGGCUGCGCGCGGCACCCACCAGGACGCCGGGGGCUCAGGCGCUGUGGCCCGGCCCGGCCCUGCCUCCCGUCCCGCAGGGUGCGAGGCCUCGGCGUGGCGCCCGGGGCUGGGGUCGGGACCUGGCCGAGUCCCCGCCGGCCGCGCCUGCACUACCUCGAGCUCCGCGUCUCGCGCUCGGGCCGCCCCGCCGAGACCAGGCCCCGCGUGGGUGUCCGUGCGCGGCCCCCCUGCCCCCCCCCCCCCCCGUGAGUUCUAGAGACUUCUCUGGCCGAGUCCUCCCGCCACGAAGGCCGCCCCAGCCCGGGGAUCCCCCUUCUUGGGCCCAGGUGGCCGGUCCAAGUUGA
rnacentral:lncRNA from 1 species